CCUUUGAUUUUGGUUUAAAGGGAAAAUGGAUACCAUCUGCCCAAUACCCUCCCAGGUGAUUCCCUGGGAGACUUCCAAGAAAUCCUAAGAAGCAGAAAUCCAAAGUCUUUACAAGUAUAAAGAACCAUUCUGCAAGAAAGUAAGAGAAGCAAACAGGAAUGAAGAAAGGACACAAUGGGUUUUGUACUGUUCUAUUUUCUUUUUCUUUUUUUUCUUUUUUUUUUUUUUAAGGGAAUAACUGAAGAAUCCUUAAAUAGAGAGAAUACUUGCAGUGACUGUUCUUUACAGAAUGUACACUGACUGCUAAUCAUAUCUAAAGGUAAAUCUAAACUUAAUUCUAAACUUAAUUCUGCUGAAAAAGUUUAAAAUAAUUAGUUUACUUCCUAGUAUCAGAUGGAAAGUGUUUUUGACACCAUCUUGUGUUUUAUUUCCACCUAUGUUGGAAUGAGAGAUGGCAGCUCUGGAAGCUGCCAGCCUGUUGCUACAGGAGUGGCUUUUCUUCUAGAGGUGUUUUGAAACUUAAUGGCACGGUUUCCCUAUAGUAGCCCAAGUCAUGGCAGCUUGCAGUAUGCUUGAUUCUGCUUGUCUUGUUGAUGCCACCGAGAGAGCCACAGCAGCUGACAAAGCAAUAACUGGGAUGCUGAUGAAAAACAAGGCUGCUUCAGCAGUAGCAAACCUUUUUAUACAUGAACCCACCUUUUAAAGGAUCCAGCCUUAAAUUAAUAUUGUGUACUCCGAUUAAGUGCUCUUGAAGGCUGCUUUUCCCCAGGAAAUAUUUCUUCAUGUAAUUUAGAAAGAGCAAGCAAUCUCAUACUAGGAGUGGACAGAUCUGGAGCGCUGAAACCUGUGGGUGCACUGUGAUGCUGCUUUGCACCUGUUCAGUGGGAUUGCUGGCAUGAGUGAUAAAACAUAUUAUGAGUGCUAUCAGCUAAUACAAGUGAUAUUGUGAUAGAAGCAGGCCAGCAAAUGUCAGACAGACUUUACGGCUCUCUCCUUGUCAGCAGCAGGUUAGUGUCUAUUUCUAGUCUCAACUCCAGCUAUUGGUGCAAAGAUUUUCUUUGAGAAAGAAAGGAAUGGACUUAGAUCUCUUUUUCCUGCUUCCCAUUGGAAGUGUUGGGGCUGAGACACCACAGCUUCAUCCCCCUAAGUCUCUGCUGUCAGAAUUCAUAAAGUGUUUCCUGGUGUCUUGAUGUCUGCCUUAAUUGUCAUCUUUAUCUCUGAGCCAAAGGACAGGAAGGUCACAGGUCUGAUAUAAAAAAGCAGAAGAUCCCUCAGAGGGUUUACUCCAAACACUGCGUAAAUCCUUAACUGCUAAGACAGUUUGUCAUUCAAAUUGUAUGGGUUUUUUUAUUUGACAUUCCUGUGUCAAAGGCAGGUACCCUGUACUAACCAAAUACUGUAGGCACCUCUGCAUUUGUGGAGCAGAGCACACUUGAUAUUUUUAUUCAAUAGUUGAGGUUUUUCACAGUACUUUAUCAGAUCUGUUUAAUACUAUUUUCCUGAGCUGAGUGAUUUCUGUUUUUUGUUUGCCUCUGAAGAAGAAUGUAUUUCUGCUCAUUAUAGACUAGACAGCAGUGAAACCUGGCUGGGGAGAGGUGGUUGAGUAACAUAAUGAUACCAUCUCCAAAUAUUUCUCCAAAACUAGAAGGAGUCUCUGUUUGUGAUAGGGGAAUCUGGUUCAUCUUGGGGGAAUAUCUUAAUUUCCAAUGCUUCCAUUUUAUGGGGUGGAGUAAGAACCCUUGGGAAUCAGAAUAUCUCUGGGUUCCUGAUCUUUUAAGUGACUUCUUGUGAGAACGGUUAGCAUGAAUUUCAGUAUGGAAAAAAAAUUCCAGCAUAAAUGUCAUCUACAGCAUGGUUCAGUUGAUUCAGACUGAACAGACUGAACAGACUGAACAUUGUUGCAGGACUGACAGGUUUUUGCUCUGCUGUCACACUCUCAUUUAUGUUUGUAGAAGGCCAUGCUUUUAUGCUUUUCCUCUAGUUUACUUUUAGGUUCCCAUCUAUACUAUUAAAAUUGGCCCUAGUGGAUUCUUCCAUUGAUGUGGGAAGAAGCUGUCCUUUUUCUUCCUCUCUGAGGAUUAGCAUUCUCAGGAAGACCACACUUCUCCUCCGUGCCUUUUUCAUGUUACAGCUUCAGGGUUGCUUUGCAGCAUCAGCACCACCAUGUGUUUCUCUUCAGUCAGUUGUCCAUAUGUUGCUUACAGCUUUCAGACCUCUCCCAGACCCCGUGGAAGCCAUUUGGAGUUUAGGGUCAUGAGAACCAGUUUCUUUAGGACAUCUUUAGUAGAUAUAUUCAUGUCUUUGAUUUAUCCAUGCUGAUUCUUCUUGCCUGCAUCUGAUUCUUGCAUUUCAUCCAUCCUACUCAAGUUUAGUAAUGUAUAAAGGUAAAGUUGCACACAGGCAGAACACAAACAAGUGUCUGUUUGCUUUUCUAGUCCCUGAAGGGAAGAUUGUUUUAUUAAUAAGUCAUCCAGAUGCGUGACUGUAUCAUUUGAGCUGCAUUUUGCCCCAAGAAUCCUUCAGUUUAAAGGAGCACCAUGAGCUGCUGUUUCAGGAAGGUUUCUAAAAAAAAAUAAAAAAUUCAGUUGCUGUAACAGCCACUAAAUUAUAACAUAAAUAUGACACAAAUGCUAAAGAAAUCACUAAACUAUAAUCAGUUGUUAUAAAAAUACUAAAACUAACCCACAUAAACAAAACUAAGAAAACAUACAAAGGGAACUGUGAAUGUGAUAAUGCACAAAAUGCUGUUGAAAGCUGAAAUAGAAGAAAAAAAUUGAGAUAAAGCAGUCUCUGCUCAUCAGUAACAGGUGUGACUGUAAGAGGAGCAGCACAUACUUGCUGUUUGGUGCAGAAGGGACACACAUGACCUUGAAUGAUACAAGUAUUCCGAAUUAUCUUUCUGUCCUGUUUUUUUUGUGCUGUACUUCUCUUAGGACUGCUACUUCCCUUCUGUCUGUGCAGUGUUUGCUGGCAUUUUCCCUGACAAGCUACUGGCCUAUUUGGUGUCUCUGGAGACUGCAUCCCUACAAGUCUGGGCUGCUGUGAUUAUUUUAGCACUCAAUGCAGGUUUCCCUGAGGAACAGUGGAAUUGUGCCAGAUGUGGUUCAUGUGCUCUGCUUCCCCUGGGCUUGGCAGGGAGGCUGUGUGCCAGCUCGAGGGGCACCAAGAGGGGACUGAAGCAAUGGCACUUGGUCCCUGUCCUGGGCCCUGGGAAAGGAGGGAUCCCCUUUCCAUCCUCCAGGCAAAGGGCUGCAGGACAUGUUGCUGCACAGGCUGCACAGCAUGGGAGGGCAGACAGCUCUGAUUGCAAGUCCAGAAGUUUACCUGAGGGCCACAAAAUGUUUUCCCAGUCUUUCUGGAAAUCUGGGCCAACCUGUGAUGAAGAGGAAAGUGAGAGGUGAUCUGUCUGGGAGCAGAAGGCAUUUCCAUGUUGGAUUUAUUGAAUUAUGUGUGGUUUGUGAUGGGAGAGAAUUCAGAAUGUUCCCAGCUGGGGACAGGAUGACAUACCCUUUAGUUAGAAAUCAGCCUUAAUGGAUUCUUCUGGAACAGCUUUUACAGGUUCAGUUUUCUGGAUUCACUAAUGUCUUAAGCUCAAAGCAAAAUGCAGAAAAUAUGAAGUCUGUGAUAACAGGAAGAAAUACAAGGUUGUUUCUAUUAACCCCCAAAUCCCACUGUCUUGAUAAAAUCACAGAAAACUGGUUUAUUUUCAAAAGGUAGGAAAAGUGCAAUCUUCCACAUCUGUCAAUAUACUGCUUCAAUUUCUUGAUACCAGAAAAAUUUCUGGUUGUGGAAGUAUAAGUGUGAUUUCCAGGCUCUUUCAGAUGAUAUCUUUGCAUUGGCAUUAUCUCAGGGCCUGGAUCAUAGGGACAGACUUGAUGCAGGGAUGGGCACCAAGCCUCAUGAUAAAUACCAUUUUAUUCCUAGCUAGUGCAGUGUUGGCUGAGACUCUUGAGCAAAGGUGGAAAAGUCUGAAUUUUCUUUAUUUAAACUUCUUUAGGUGAUCAACACAGUAAAAGAGUCUGUGACAACUUUUAACCUUUUCUUUCACUGACAUGUCCUACUUAUUCCACAAACUCUAAAUUAUCUGCCUUCUCAUUUCCCUUUAGAGUCUCCUUCAGUAUCACAGUAUCACCAUCAAUUUUCUCUCAGGUGAUCUUAUUAAUACAAAUCUAACUAAAUUUUAGAUCAGCUGUUCUUGGCUGAUUUUUAUUUUUUCAAGGCUGCUGCUUCUAUUCUGGACCUGGGGAAGGACUGAUGUAUUUGAAAGCUUAUUGAUUUUUCCCAGCUAGACUAGUGGGUUUAAUAACAUAGGUCUGGUAAAAGCCUUAUUUUAGUCAUAUUCUUGGAUACAUCAACAACACUGUUUUGUUAUUUCUUCUGGAAUAAUUUAUGGCUGUCAGUGUUAUGCAAAUAUCCCAGCAAUAGCUAGUAAUGAUAUGGACAGUGUUAUGUUGGCCUGUCAGCAAUGUUCCUAAUCUUCAUCAGGGAAAAAUAAACAGAAAAAUCUCAGGCAACUGAUGUACUGGAAGAGACUUCAAUGUAAAAGCACCUUCUUGUUAUGAAGUUGCCAUGAUACAAUCAUUUGUUCAUUCUGGAUUGAAUCAAUCUUUUUUUUAUUCCUGUGUUUUCCUAUAUCAGAGGAAUUUGGUAUUCAGGGUGUGUUUCUCCCUGUUGGUGGAGUUUCAGAACAGUUUGCAGUUUCCCUGAAGUCCCCUGGAUGAAGGGUGCUGGACAGUAUGGAAGCAGACACUUGAGUCUUGUAACACCACUAGUAGAAGAGCUGUGAUGAGUGUAGGAUGAAGUGGCAGUCAUUAAUGUUGAACUGUUAAAUGAGGUACUUGGGCUGAGGUAAUUGAGUUUCUGGGAGCCAGCACCCAUGAGAGAGUGACAGAUCCAAGUACCAAAAUGCUACCUGUCUGUCUGCAGCUGUGUCAUAUUAGCAGCUCCAGCACUGGCCUCUUUCCUCAUGCUAACUGGGAAAAGAUGGUGGAUCUUGGCAACCAGUCCAGCAACGACUCUUCAGUGGGUAGGGGACAUGUCCUGUAUGUCUGCAAAACAGAGCCAUCCAUGUGGUCCUGCUUCGUGAUGGCUGAGACGGACAAGUGCAUUUCUCUCUUGCAUCCAUGUAGGAAAGGCGGUGGGAAAGCAAGCACGCACACUUCACUCUCCUAAUCCACAUCUCCUCAGAUGAGUACAAGGGACACUGCUCUCACAGCAUGCCCCCUGGUGCCCCAAGGCAGCAGGGAGCAGUGGUGAGGUGAGAGUCCAACCUGCACAGCUCCUACUAAAGCUCACGAGGUCCCUUGUAAUCCUGUGACUUCUCUCUCAUCAGAGAACAACGUUGGUAAACUAGAGAGACCCAGAGGGGGCCAAGCAUCUGAACCUGCUAGUGUGUGGUGUGAUGUGAGCUGUCAGGCCUCUGUGGGAGGAAACCUAGGCCACCACAGUGCUGUUAAUCAGAUUCCCAACAAGAAAAAAUAGCAAGUGAGCAGGUCAUCCAGGACACCAGCACAGCACUCUGUGACAUGGGCCAAAUAUAGGUUAUGUGUACAGCUUGUGAGUGCUCACCUGCCCCAGUUGUGUCUUCUGCAGGUGUUGGCGCUAACUUCCCCUCCUGGGAUUUGUUUCCAGUUACAUUAAGUUUUAAAGGCCCAUGUGGCUGGUAAGGAGCAAGAAUUAACUUUUCCUUAAAAUACCAUAGCAAAAACAAAAUCGAAAACCUGUGAAAAGUGGAUGAAGCCAGCUCUGAUGAUUUGCUUUUCCCCCUUCAAAAUCAAAGGAUGUGGCUUUUUUUGGAAAAUGUAUACUUACGUAAUUUGUCCUCAUUUUGGUUCUUAAUAACCAGCACAGCUCAGCGACUGCUGACUGGUUGGCUGCAAUUAACCCAUGUAAUGUUAUUUGUGGCUCUUUUUGAGAAAGAAUUGGUUUGUCUCAGCCUACAAGCCUUAUUUUAGAUAAUCCCCAUUUUAAGUGCAACUGUGAUUUUAAAGGUUGUUACUUUUGUCCAUGAACGUGAUAGGAGCUUAAAGCAAAGCCCUUGAGAUGCCAGAGGAGAUCCAUUACAAUUAGCAGGCAGUUUACCAGGGGCUUGGUAAGGGCAUGCUUGGGAAAGACAGGUUUUAUUCUCCACCUACUGUUUAGACAAACCCAGCAAGGCUGAAUCACCAUGUGCCCUACAUCUGCAACCACCCUAGGCCUGAAAUAGCUGGUUCUGGAAAGUCACAUUUUGAACAAGGGGUUCAAAACAGCAACCCCACACCCACCCUUACAUCACUGAAUGUAAGGGAUUGGGCCACCUUUUCUUGCUCUUUGAAGUCCUGGUUUGUCAUUGCUGAAGUGCAGAAACUGUCCUAAAAUAAAAUUGUGCCACUCAAAUCCCAACGAUGAUGUGAUCUCUCUCCUGGAGAGCACUUGCACACCAGAGGAAUGUUUUAAAGCAAUAUAAUUGGCUUUCUUAGUUAAAACCUCAACAUGAUUUCAGAAGGGAGAGGCCAGAAGGGAAGAAUCACCUUCAAAUUCAGUAAUCCCCAUUUUGAAGUGCACCCUAUUGCAAUUUAUUGUCAAGUAGAAGAUAUAUGUACAUUCUGACAUUUAGAUUGCACUGAUGUUUCAAAAUUGAAUGCAAUAUAUUAUGUGAAGCACAUUUUCUAUGAAGUAUCUUUGUUUUUUUACAAGACUGAUUCCUUAUUUGAAAAACAUAUUUAGUGCUGACUAUAGCUUUCAUUUCUCUAGCAGAGAAACACUAAUUCAAGGGUUGUGUUGAAGAAAUGCUUUGAGUUGGGAACAUUUUUAACUGAAAUGCAGACUCUGUGAAGGCUUCCAGGGAAGGGCACUUUGCCUGAAGAGAGUCACAUCAGAACUUCCACCCGGCUUCUAAAUCACAGGUUUCUUGAAAAACCUUAUCAUUACACACACUUGUACUGAAAUUCAGUCUGAUACAAACCAGAUCAAUUUAUAUUUGUGCCCCUACCUUGUUCAGUUACCAGCAUACAUGCAAAAUGCUGGAUGAAAAAAUACACGUGCAUUGAAAGUCCCCAUCUGAACUGAUCUCAGAGAUUUGGUGGGGAAAAUUCCUGAAAACUAGAUACAGAAACACUUAGUGCCUAAUAAUUUUGCUGGGAGGAGGUGGGCAAGCUGAGAGGGGCUCCCAGGAGCUACACAUUAGACAUGAUAAGAACACAGAAGAUGCUGGGUUUUGGGUGAUCUGUGACUGAAAAAUGGACAACUCCUGUCAGCCCAGAGUGCAACUCCUCACUCUGCUCUAAAUCACAAGUCUCAACUUGGCCAGCGGCCCUGUGCUAAAAACACUAGUUUCUCUCCAACACAACAUCUAUAAAUGGAGCUGGGACAACUGCAUCAGCCAUCACAGAAUAUCUCAACUUGGCAGGGACCCAUAAGGAUCACUGGGCGCAACCUGAAGCGUGCCUGGCUUGUAGGUACCCGAACUUCAGUGAAGUGCAUCCCACUGAACUUUGCUUAUAUCUGCAGUAUGCCAGGGACACAGUCACAGCAGCACCCCAGAUUUGCUGCCUUUGGCCUCAAAGUGCCUCCUGCUGUUAAUGAUCCUUGUCUCCAGCAGAUGGCCCAGCCAGCCCGCAGCCAGCCUUGCUCUCCCUGGCAAUCUCACCGCAGGCACAUUGUAUUAUUCAAGACUGGCACCUUUGAAGUCAGUUUAAGUUUCAAAUUAUACAGAAAAGUGGUUUUAUGUACACCAAGCUAAAUAUUCAUUAGUACCUCAGAAAAUGGCAAUUUUGAAUUUGAAAUGUUUUUAGCAAUAGUGGCUCCAUAUCAAUGACUCAAUAGUACCAUGUCACUGCUGCAGAGUUUGUGAAAAGAUGGUCCCAGGACAGUCAUGCCUGGCAAAUUUAUUUUCUGUAAUAACAAAGACCAAAAUGCAAAGCGCACAGCUAAUGCAUCAGUUCUGCUUUUUAAUAUGACUAUCUUACGGUUUCCUUUAAGUUACUGGAAAUAUACCCGUGACAUAUUUCCCCAUCCAAAGAUCAAUACCUGUUACAAAAAUAAAUGCUGUUCUAGAUGAAAA